rnacentral:rRNA from 1 species
UACGUAGGGGGCAAGCGUUGUCCGGAAUCAUUGGGCGUAAAGAGCGUGUAGGCGGCUUGGCAAGUCUGGUGUGAAAUCUUGCGGCUCAACCGCAAGCGGUCACUGGAAACUGCCUCGCUAGAGUCCGGAAGAGGAGAGCGGAAUUCCUGGUGUAGCGGUGGAAUGCGCAGAUAUCAGGAAGAACACCCGUGGCGAAGGCGGCUCUCUGGGACGGUACUGACGCUGAGACGCGAAAGCGUGGGGAGCGAACAGG